rnacentral:rRNA from 1 species
AAAUUGAAGAGUUUGAUCAUGGCUCAGAUUGAACGCUGGCGGCAGGCCUAACACAUGCAAGUCGAACGGUAACAGAAAGCAGCUUGCUGCUUUGCUGACGAGUGGCGGACGGGUGAGUAAUGUCUGGGAAACUGCCUGAUGGAGGGGGAUAACUACUGGAAACGGUAGCUAAUACCGCAUAACGUCGCAAGACCAAAGAGGGGGACCUUCGGGCCUCUUGCCAUCGGAUGUGCCCAGAUGGGAUUAGCUUGUUGGUGGGGUAACGGCUCACCAAGGCGACGAUCCCUAGCUGGUCUGAGAGGAUGACCAGCCACACUGGAACUGAGACACGGUCCAGACUCCUACGGGAGGCAGCAGUGGGGAAUAUUGCACAAUGGGCGCAAGCCUGAUGCAGCCAUGCCGCGUGUAUGAAGAAGGCCUUCGGGUUGUAAAGUACUUUCAGCGGGGAGGAAGGGAGUAAAGUUAAUACCUUUGCUCAUUGACGUUACCCGCAGAAGAAGCACCGGCUAACUCCGUGCCAGCAGCCGCGGUAAUACGGAGGGUGCAAGCGUUAAUCGGAAUUACUGGGCGUAAAGCGCACGCAGGCGGUUUGUUAAGUCAGAUGUGAAAUCCCCGGGCUCAACCUGGGAACUGCAUCUGAUACUGGCAAGCUUGAGUCUCGUAGAGGGGGGUAGAAUUCCAGGUGUAGCGGUGAAAUGCGUAGAGAUCUGGAGGAAUACCGGUGGCGAAGGCGGCCCCCUGGACGAAGACUGACGCUCAGGUGCGAAAGCGUGGGGAGCAAACAGGAUUAGAUACCCUGGUAGUCCACGCCGUAAACGAUGUCGACUUGGAGGUUGUGCCCUUGAGGCGUGGCUUCCGGAGCUAACGCGUUAAGUCGACCGCCUGGGGAGUACGGCCGCAAGGUUAAAACUCAAAUGAAUUGACGGGGGCCCGCACAAGCGGUGGAGCAUGUGGUUUAAUUCGAUGCAACGCGAAGAACCUUACCUGGUCUUGACAUCCACAGAAGUUUUCAGAGAUGAGAAUGUGCCUUCGGGAACCGUGAGACAGGUGCUGCAUGGCUGUCGUCAGCUCGUGUUGUGAAAUGUUGGGUUAAGUCCCGCAACGAGCGCAACCCUUAUCCUUUGUUGCCAGCGGUCCGGCCGGGAACUCAAAGGAGACUGCCAGUGAUAAACUGGAGGAAGGUGGGGAUGACGUCAAGUCAUCAUGGCCCUUACGACCAGGGCUACACACGUGCUACAAUGGCGCAUACAAAGAGAAGCGACCUCGCGAGAGCAAGCGGACCUCAUAAAGUGCGUCGUAGUCCGGAUUGGAGUCUGCAACUCGACUCCAUGAAGUCGGAAUCGCUAGUAAUCGUGGAUCAGAAUGCCACGGUGAAUACGUUCCCGGGCCUUGUACACACCGCCCGUCACACCAUGGGAGUGGGUUGCAAAAGAAGUAGGUAGCUUAACCUUCGGGAGGGCGCUUACCACUUUGUGAUUCAUGACUGGGGUGAAGUCGUAACAAGGUAACCGUAGGGGAACCUGCGGUUGGAUCACCUCCUUA